GGUUAAGCGACUAAGCGUACACGGUGGAUGCCCUGGCAGUCAGAGGCGAUGAAGGACGUGCUAAUCUGCGAUAAGCGUCGGUAAGGUGAUAUGAACCGUUAUAACCGGCGAUUUCCGAAUGGGGAAACCCAGUGUGUUUCGACACACUAUCAUUAACUGAAUCCAUAGGUUAAUGAGGCGAACCGGGGGAACUGAAACAUCUAAGUACCCCGAGGAAAAGAAAUCAACCGAGAUUCCCCCAGUAGCGGCGAGCGAACGGGGAGCAGCCCAGAGCCUGAAUCAGUGUGUGUGUUAGUGGAAGCGUCUGGAAAGGCGCGCGAUACAGGGUGACAGCCCCGUACACAAAAAUGCACAUGCUGUGAGCUCGAUGAGUAGGGCGGGACACGUGGUAUCCUGUCUGAAUAUGGGGGGACCAUCCUCCAAGGCUAAAUACUCCUGACUGACCGAUAGUGAACCAGUACCGUGAGGGAAAGGCGAAAAGAACCCCGGCGAGGGGAGUGAAAAAGAACCUGAAACCGUGUACGUACAAGCAGUGGGAGCACGCUUAGGCGUGUGACUGCGUACCUUUUGUAUAAUGGGUCAGCGACUUAUAUUCUGUAGCAAGGUUAACCGAAUAGGGGAGCCGAAGGGAAACCGAGUCUUAACUGGGCGUUAAGUUGCAGGGUAUAGACCCGAAACCCGGUGAUCUAGCCAUGGGCAGGUUGAAGGUUGGGUAACACUAACUGGAGGACCGAACCGACUAAUGUUGAAAAAUUAGCGGAUGACUUGUGGCUGGGGGUGAAAGGCCAAUCAAACCGGGAGAUAGCUGGUUCUCCCCGAAAGCUAUUUAGGUAGCGCCUCGUGAAUUCAUCUCCGGGGGUAGAGCACUGUUUCGGCAAGGGGGUCAUCCCGACUUACCAACCCGAUGCAAACUGCGAAUACCGGAGAAUGUUAUCACGGGAGACACACGGCGGGUGCUAACGUCCGUCGUGAAGAGGGAAACAACCCAGACCGCCAGCUAAGGUCCCAAAGUCAUGGUUAAGUGGGAAACGAUGUGGGAAGGCCCAGACAGCCAGGAUGUUGGCUUAGAAGCAGCCAUCAUUUAAAGAAAGCGUAAUAGCUCACUGGUCGAGUCGGCCUGCGCGGAAGAUGUAACGGGGCUAAACCAUGCACCGAAGCUGCGGCAGCGACGCUGAUGCGUUGUUGGGUAGGGGAGCGUUCUGUAAGCCUGCGAAGGUGUGCUGUGAGGCAUGCUGGAGGUAUCAGAAGUGCGAAUGCUGACAUAAGUAACGAUAAAGCGGGUGAAAAGCCCGCUCGCCGGAAGACCAAGGGUUCCUGUCCAACGUUAAUCGGGGCAGGGUGAGUCGACCCCUAAGGCGAGGCCGAAAGGCGUAGUCGAUGGGAAACAGGUUAAUAUUCCUGUACUUGGUGUUACUGCGAAGGGGGGACGGAGAAGGCUAUGUUGGCCGGGCGACGGUUGUCCCGGUUUAAGCGUGUAGGCUGGUUUUCCAGGCAAAUCCGGAAAAUCAAGGCUGAGGCGUGAUGACGAGGCACUACGGUGCUGAAGCAACAAAUGCCCUGCUUCCAGGAAAAGCCUCUAAGCAUCAGGUAACAUCAAAUCGUACCCCAAACCGACACAGGUGGUCAGGUAGAGAAUACCAAGGCGCUUGAGAGAACUCGGGUGAAGGAACUAGGCAAAAUGGUGCCGUAACUUCGGGAGAAGGCACGCUGAUAUGUAGGUGAAGUCCCUCGCGGAUGGAGCUGAAAUCAGUCGAAGAUACCAGCUGGCUGCAACUGUUUAUUAAAAACACAGCACUGUGCAAACACGAAAGUGGACGUAUACGGUGUGACGCCUGCCCGGUGCCGGAAGGUUAAUUGAUGGGGUUAGCGCAAGCGAAGCUCUUGAUCGAAGCCCCGGUAAACGGCGGCCGUAACUAUAACGGUCCUAAGGUAGCGAAAUUCCUUGUCGGGUAAGUUCCGACCUGCACGAAUGGCGUAAUGAUGGCCAGGCUGUCUCCACCCGAGACUCAGUGAAAUUGAACUCGCUGUGAAGAUGCAGUGUACCCGCGGCAAGACGGAAAGACCCCGUGAACCUUUACUAUAGCUUGACACUGAACAUUGAGCCUUGAUGUGUAGGAUAGGUGGGAGGCUUAGAAGUGUGGACGCCAGUCUGCAUGGAGCCGACCUUGAAAUACCACCCUUUAAUGUUUGAUGUUCUAACGUUGACCCGUAAUCCGGGUUGCGGACAGUGUCUGGUGGGUAGUUUGACUGGGGCGGUCUCCUCCUAAAGAGUAACGGAGGAGCACGAAGGUUGGCUAAUCCUGGUCGGACAUCAGGAGGUUAGUGCAAUGGCAUAAGCCAGCUUGACUGCGAGCGUGACGGCGCGAGCAGGUGCGAAAGCAGGUCAUAGUGAUCCGGUGGUUCUGAAUGGAAGGGCCAUCGCUCAACGGAUAAAAGGUACUCCGGGGAUAACAGGCUGAUACCGCCCAAGAGUUCAUAUCGACGGCGGUGUUUGGCACCUCGAUGUCGGCUCAUCACAUCCUGGGGCUGAAGUAGGUCCCAAGGGUAUGGCUGUUCGCCAUUUAAAGUGGUACGCGAGCUGGGUUUAGAACGUCGUGAGACAGUUCGGUCCCUAUCUGCCGUGGGCGCUGGAGAACUGAGGGGGGCUGCUCCUAGUACGAGAGGACCGGAGUGGACGCAUCACUGGUGUUCGGGUUGUCAUGCCAAUGGCACUGCCCGGUAGCUAAAUGCGGAAGAGAUAAGUGCUGAAAGCAUCUAAGCACGAAACUUGCCCCGAGAUGAGUUCUCCCUGAC
rnacentral:rRNA from 1 species